rnacentral:lncRNA from 1 species
AAAGUUGCCAAAGCUGUGAUCAAAGCGGCUGCAGUUAGUGAUGAUUCAUUUGACUCAGAUACAAGCAGUCUGCCAAGUGUCGAUGCGGAAACACUUAAUCCACCGGCCAAUACAUCAUCCGUCAACAACUGGAGAGGACGAGGCAGGGAUGGUCCUAACGGCCGAGAUGGUCCUAAUGGUCGUGAUGGUAAUAAUGAUAAUCGAGGACGAAUUUGGGUUCGAGGUCGAGGUCUCGGAAAAGAAGCAGAGGUCGCUCUUACUCCAGAAGUCGCUCUAGAUCUUACUCCAGGUCUAGAAGUAGGACUCGAUCCAGAUCAAGAAGUUCGCGCCGUUCACGGUCUAGAUCGUAUUCCAGGCACUCAAGGUCACGAUCCAGAAGCCGUUCAAAACGCUCAAGGUCUCAUAGUAGGUCUAGAAGUAGAAAUAGAUCCAGGUCUAAAAGUCGCUCUAGGUCUAGAAGUAAAUCGCGCAGUCAUCGUCAUAGGCAUAGAUCUAGAUCACGUAGUCGCCGUGCAGAUUCUCAUAAAUCUAAGUCUAAGUCAAAGUCAAGAGAUGAAUCUAAAGGAAAAUCACACUCUCCAGAUAGGCGCAAAGAAGAUUCAACGACAAAAAAUCCCUCUCCUGAAACUGAGAACAAAAAGACUGAAAAUCUUACUGCAGACAAAAAUGGAGAUUCCUCCUCUAAAAAGGGGCACUCUCCCAUUACGUUCAAUGAUGAAAGCAGUUCAAAAAAGGAUGAGAAAAGUAAAGCAAAAGACCCAAAAAGUGAUGAAAAAAUUCUAGUAAUGAACAAGAAAUAAAUCUUCAAACUCCAAGAGUAAGAAGAAAAACAUCAUCAUCACAAAAAGGCAAAGAAAAAAGAAGAAAGGAAGUGAUGAGGAAAAAGAAACUACGGAAAAGGAGAAUAAAUUAAUACUAUUAAGUGGGUACCCCAAAUCCUCAAAAACCACCAAUUCAAACUGUUUUAUGGUACCUAUAAAGUGUUUUCGUUUUAAUUUGCAACCAGGAUAAUUCUCUCCAUUUUUUUCUCCAUUGCCCUGAAAAAUAUGUUCCUCUCUUACAAUAACUCAACUUCGGUAAAUAUGUAUGUAUGUGUGGAAUAUGCACUGAAGCCUGCUGAUAAUCCUACUGGAUAGUGUGUUAAUUUAGUAAACAUACUGCUCUCAAUUUUUGUAUUUUGUGGCAGAAGCUUCUCUUAUUUUUAUUUUUUAAGUCAAGAAAUCAUCAAAAUAGCUGUUGAAACUCCCCCGGCCUUCCCAAUAUUUGAAGAUUUGUCAAAGAGGAAGGAUAAUUUCCAAAUUUAACUUUCCAAUUUUUUUUUAACUUUCCAAUUUUUUUUUUUAUGUUCUCUUAAUGGGAAGUUUCCUGACUGUAUCCUCCAAAGAUUAUUUACUGAGAACGUUUCUCUGCCAGAAACUUGAGAUUUUUGUAAGUCAGGUCUGAUUCUGCAUUGAGUAACUUUUAAGCCACAUUGGUUUUAGGUAAGGAUUUUUUUCUAAAAUAUCUUGCAGUUAUGACUGAAAUCUUCAAAAUGAGAAAAUUCUGAAUUUUUAUAGCUCUUCCCGAAAAAAUAUUGUUUCUUGUAUUCUGGCAACUGUAAUUUUUGCUUUUUUCAUUUUCUGCACAAAAAUUGUAACUUGAAGAAUUUAAAAACCAGCUUAAAAAAUGAUAACAUCACUUUUUGAACCGAAAAAUUAGAAUUAGAAAGAGCAUUCAAGGCUCAAGUAUGUAUGCAACAACAAAGCUUUUAAAGAAAGUUAUGCAAUUAAGUACGGUAGUUGCAAUCAGAAUUUGAAUCAAGCAAGGCUCCAUAACUAUUUCUUUUUUUGGCGUCAUCAGCAAUACCUCACAUAAAUGAUUCAAUGGAAGUCACCAUUGAGGGAGUAGACAUUUUUUUAAUACAAUUAAACCAGAGAGAAAUUGCGUUCCUUCGCUCUGUUUUAUAUGUAUUCUAGAAAAUCAUAUUGCUGUUCUAAAGUAUGAAAUUACUUUAUCUUUUUCAAGUUUCUUUGUAGAUUUUUUUUUCUGUAUCUUUUUAUAUGAAAAAUCUAGCAAAUGCUGUUACAAUUAAAUAUAUCAGUCACUGUGUACUUUUUUACUUUAAAAUACAUUAUGCAGCUAAUAAAAAUGUAUGAUGCAAAAAUUGCAGUUUUUAAGAGAGAAAUCCACUUUUCAGUUAGUGAAAAACCUGCAAAAGUGUUUCCCAGUUCUCUUAUUUACACCCCUCAAACGACCUUAGUAUUUACUUUUUUCCUAUUCUAAUAUUUACUAGAAAUCAUAUCGUUUUGUGUAAAUUGCUAAUCAGUGAUUAGAAGUCUUGAUUACCCCAGUCUGUAAUCUCCGUAUUUCAGUGUCAUAAUGUCACGCAUAAAACUUGCUAAAAUGAUGUCCUCUGUUCUCAUUUAAUUUUCUUUUUUUUUUAUAACUAUUUAAGUGGGUAAUCAUUUUUUCUUAUGAUAGCCAAUUUUCUGUAACAUCUGUUAUUCUUUAUUCAAGCAUCUGGUGCUCAAGGUCAAUUUCGCUCUCUCACUCUCUUGUGAAUUCUUUUUACCUACCGUGUUAAUUGUGUAAAACUUUUCAAAACUCGCAAGUCUUUCAUGUGUAAUAAAGUUUGAAUCCUGGUUCUUUCCUUAGAACUUUAAGUGAAAACUUCCAUUUCUUAACUAUCGAUUUUUCAUUUUCAGUCGGUUUUUGUCCAUCUUCGCAGCUAACUUAAUAUAAUUUUCUCCCUCCAUAUUGUUUAAAGAGAAGAAUUCAAAUUUGUGGUUUGCUUUUACUUAAUACUCGACUUACCUCAGAUUAACCUUUAUUGAGUCAUUAUACAUUGAUGUAACUUCAUGUUGUUGGGAUGAGACAUCCUCAUUACAGCUGUUUAGUGCAUCUGUUGUCGUUAAAUCAUUUUAGUUCAUAUUGACUGGGAAGAAACUUUUAAAUAUUUUCAUAUACUGCCUAGUUGAAGUUCCAAGCUUCAUUGUGAAAAUUUGUUCUUUUUAUUCACAAGUCAACCUGUUCUACUUUUUCCCUUUCAUCACACAUUAAGCUGUAGAAUUUUGUUGAAUUAUUUCCGGUUAAUUUUUUUUUUUAUAUAUAAAAUGUUGAAAAUGUAAAAUUUUGCAAAAUACAACUAUUAUAUUUCUAAAAAUUGAUCUCUUUUGUCUGUAAUCAUAUCUUUUUUCAAACAUUGAACUUAUGAUUCAAAAAAUAGGAAAAAGAAAUUAUAGGUAAAAAGGUUAUUUAUUAAUAUUUGACUCAGAAGAGCUCCAGUUAAAGUCGGAUCACAAAAGAUACUUGUUCAACAAUUUAUAUGCCUUU